UUUAUGGAGAGUUUGAUCCUGGCUCAGGAUGAACGCUGGCGGCGUGCCUAAUACAUGCAAGUCGAGCGAACGGACGAGAAGCUUGCUUCUCUGAUGUUAGCGGCGGACGGGUGAGUAACACGUGGAUAACCUACCUAUAAGACUGGGAUAACUUCGGGAAACCGGAGCUAAUACCG
rnacentral:rRNA from 2 species